rnacentral:rRNA from 1 species
CCUACGGGAGGCAGCAGUGAGGAAUAUUGGUCAAUGGACGAGAGUCUGAACCAGCCAAGUAGCGUGAAGGAUUACUGCCCUAUGGGUUGUAAACUUCUUUUAUAUGGGAAUAAAAUGUUCCACGUGUGGGAUUUUGUAUGUACCAUAUGAAUAAGGAUCGGCUAACUCCGUGCCAGCAGCCGCGGUAAUACGGAGGAUCCGAGCGUUAUCCGGAUUUAUUGGGUUUAAAAGGAGCGUAGGUGGAUUGUUAAGUCAGUUGUGAAAGUUUGCGGCUCAACCGUAAAAUUGCAGUUGAAACUGGCAGUCUUGAGUACAGUAGAGGUGGGCGGAAUUCGUGGUGUAGCGGUGAAAUGCUUAGAUAUCACGAAGAACUCCGAUUGCGAAGGCAGUUCACUGGACUGCAACUGACACUGAGGCUCGAAAGUGUGGGUAUCAAACAGGAUCAGAUACCCUAGUAGUC